GUUACCGCGGACUGCCGAGGCACGGAGCAGUCUGGCUGUAAUGGGGGGCCUGGCCCCGGGCCAACAACCGUCAGAAUUAGCUAAUUGUUAUACAAUAUAGCUAGGUAGCUAGUUAAAGACGGUGGCAGUCUGGUUAAGGCAGUCUUGUAUGGGGUUCUCUCCCCGCAAGUUUGCAUGCCAUUUUAUACCUACGCGAAUGCAACACUGUUGCAGUAAAAUUGGAACUUCAGCAGCGCGAGCUAGCCCAGCCCCCGCUAGCGAACGAGAAUUUGCUAGUGGAACGGGGCUUCAGUCCAGUCCCACACUUGCCCAGCUGCCAAACUAUGCAUGCAGUAGCAAAGCUGAUUUGGCAGAUAAUCAAGGUAUCAGCUUAACCCUCAAACUGAAGUAAACACAGGCUAUGAUGAAUCCCCUGAGAGAAGACUGCAAGUCACUGCCAGUCAGACAAAAGGGGAGCAGCAACGAAACAACUCACCAUUCCUUCCCUUCCUUCCUGGGAGAAACACCACACUCUCACCGUAAAGAACAAAUGGAAAAAUGAAUUAUGUAUAUUUUAGUUUCAUAUUUUUUUGUAAACAUGUCUAACUUGUUUUUUUUUUUGUAGUAUGUGGGGGGAUAUAGAUGAGAUCAUGAUGACUCUGAAGUUUCAUACCUUCUCUGUCUUAUCUGUGAUUUAUUAACAUGUUCGAUAUACAGUAGCCUGUAAGGGACUCUAAGCCUUGACGAUGUUUGUAUUUCGGGAAGGAGAGGAAAAGACACAAAGAAAUUUAAUAACACCGAUACCUGGCCGAAUUGAGCAGAGUCUCCUACAUCUGAGACCUAGCCUGGUUCCUAGAUCUGUUUGUGCUGUCUUCCAUGACAUCGGCAAGCUGGCACAAACAGAUCUGGAACCAGGCUAGCAAAGACCCAACGUCUGCGUUUUCAAACUCUACAGGUGGGCCCUUUUUUGGGCUGAGUACAGUAACUGACAGGCAGCAGCAUGUCAUCCACUCUUCCACAGAACACAGUUCAAACAGCAGCUGGAUCCUCUUUGCAUGUUUUAACACUCAUUCAGUUCUAUCUGCUCUGUUCACCUCACACACUCAUCAGCAUUGAUCUCUGCUUAAUUAACACAGUAUGUAGUUAGGCCUAGACUUAUAUCAUUGCCUGUACAAACACACUUAAAAAAAAAAAGAUCUAAUCAAAUGUUUAUUUGUGACAUGCUUCAUGAACUGCAGGUGUAGACUAACAGUGAAAUUCUUUCUGAGUCUUUUUCGAACAAUUCAGAGUUUAACUCUUGAAGGGGAGUGGUUCCACCUCGAAGCAUAACCAUUCAAACAUUGGGUUUGGUAUUUAACCUCUAAUAGUCCUAAUCCUUCAGCUCUUUAGGUGAUUCACACCCUUCAGCUCUUUAGGUGAUUCACACCCUUCAGCUCUUUAGGUGAUUCACACCCUUCAGCUCUUUAGGUGAUUCACACCCUUCAGCUCUUAAAUUCAUCUCUCUAUGCUCAUUCUCAAAACUCAAAUAUUUACAUGCUCUAAAGUAUUUACUGAGGCUAAGAGUCCCGCCCUUUUUCCAUUUUAGACUACUAAAUGCUUUGUAGUUCAUUCUUUUUUGUUUUUAAAUGUUUCUUAUUUUUUAUGUAGAAUUUUAGGUUUCGAAUGUUUACGUUGCUAGCUAGUAUAAAACCACGUGUAGACACAGUCAUGUACGCUGUGAUGUAUAGAAGUAGAUAUAGUAGAAAUGCAUUGUUUCCUUGUGGUAAGUGAGUGAGAUGCUGCCACGGAACUGAGACACUGAUGAUUGGUGCUAUUUUGGACUUUAAUCUGCUCCUUGGAAAGGUAGCUGAGACGGGUUCUAUUUUUUACUUUCAUGUUCUAAUUAAGGAAGGGGUUGGUUCUUUGACGUCUGGUUGUUGUAACUUGGUCUGGAUUGGCUUUGUAUUUUCCCUGUCGUUUUCUGUGCGGCUUUCUCAUUGGAUUUAAGGAAAAUAUCAACUUUUUUCAUGGUAAUGUUUUACUAAGGGGGGGGGGGGAUUUAGGUGAGAAGAUUUGAGGAUACACCAUGUUGAUCGGAGCAAUCACAAAACUGCAAUCGUUAACACUAGUUACCCUUUAAAACUGAGAUGUGCAAUCAAAGGGAUACAUUGUAUCUGGUAGUACCCAGCACAAGUCACUUUUUAGAAAAUGUUUACAUUUUCUGUUCAUGUUCUGAUUGACAGACAAUCUUGAAACUAAGAGUGCGUUUUUCCCCUAACGUGUUUGUGUUUAACAGAUCUAAGAGAUUUUGCACACUUGUGAGUAAUGAAAUUGUCACAUAUAGACGGCACAGAAUGUUAAUGUCAGAUAUCCGUUUCAAGUUGUUCAGCAUAAGUAAACACUGAAACGUAAAGGUAAUUUUUUUUAGAAAAUGGCACUUGAGAGAACUUGAUAGUUAAAUUAUAAAAUGAAUGAACACACUUUAAUGUGUGUUAAGGCCCAGCCUGUUAGGGUUUGGGUUCAGGGUUUCAACUUUUCUUCACCAGCUGGAUAUGACUUAAUGCUAUAGUGAGUCAUGUGUGAUUUAUAUAAUGUUAACGUGAGACUGGAAUCACAUGAUGCAUAUAAUCUUGUUUUGGAAAACCAUUUUCCAAACAGGGCGCACAUGUAUCAUAAAGUGAUCUCAGUUUUAAAAAUAUAUAUUUUUCAUUGUCUAGUAAAUCAAUUGUUGACUGAGAACCUUUUUAUUAAACAAACUAAAACCCAAAAGCUUUUUAAUUUUAGCAAAACAUUUUUUUAGACAACUAGGGUUAUGGGCCUUGCUCAGGGGUACAUUGACAGAUUUUUCACCUAGUUGGCUCGGGGAUUCAAACCAGCAACCUUUCAGUUACUGGCCCAAUGCUCUUAACCACUAGGCUACCUGCCACCCUAGCUAGAGAUUUAAAACAUCGAAGUUAUGUCAGUAUUUGCAGUUUUGUCUUUGCUUCCCUUUUUUUAUAUUGUUAAAUAUUCUAAUAUGAUAAUAACCAACUUGAAAGCCCACGUUAGUUUUCUUUUUGUCUUCCAUUCUCCCUCGAUAUUGGGACCUAUUGAACCAGCAUGUUCUGGUCUUACUAAUUGCGUGCUCUCUUUUUGUCAUUGUGUUUUUUUUUGUAAAAAAAAAAAAUAUAUAUAUAUAUAUCCUCUUGCAUUUCUUUCCUCAUAGACUACUUAAUAUGAAUGCUGUUUUGUACAUAGCAAAGUGAAUAGCGUAGGCAGGAUGUGUUGAGUGAGGUAUUCAGUAUUUACCACUAAGGUUGAAAAAUAUACACUAUGCCAGCUUUGCAAAAUUAUUAUAACGAUGCACUUAACUUACUGUAUCCCAUGUACUUUCCUUUGGCAAUUUUAGAAGUAGUGCAAUAAAUAUGCAAGCUUGUCAUUUGGUGUUAUUUAAA